rnacentral:rRNA from 1 species
GACGAACGCUGGCGGCGUGCUUAACACAUGCAAGUCGAACGGUGAAGCGAGUGCUUGCACUCGUGGAUCAGUGGCGAACGGGUGAGUAACACGUGAGUAACCUGCCCAUCACUCUGGGAUAAGCACUGGAGACGGUGUCUAAUACUGGAUACGACCAACCCUUGCAUGGGGUGUUGGUGGAAAGAUUUAUCGGUGAUGGAUGGACUCGCGGCCUAUCAGCUUGUUGGCGGGGUAAUGGCCCACCAAGGCGACGACGGGUAGCCGGCCUGAGAGGGUGACCGGCCACACUGGGACUGAGACACGGCCCAGACUCCUACGGGAGGCAGCAGUGGGGAAUAUUGCACAAUGGGCGAAAGCCUGAUGCAGCGACGCCGCGUGAGGGAUGACGGCCUUCGGGUUGUAAACCUCUUUCAGCAGGGAAGAAGCGAAAGUGACGGUACCUGCAGAAGAAGCACCGGCUAACUACGUG